AUACGGAGGGUGCAAGCGUUAAUCGGAAUUACUGGGCGUAAAGAGUACGUAGGUGGUUUAUUAAGUCAGAUGUGAAAGCCCCGGGCUCAACCUGGGAACUGCAUUUGAAACUAGUAAACUAGAGUAUGGUAGAGGGGGGUAGAAUUUCUAGUGUAGCGGUGAAAUGCGUAGAUAUUAGAAGGAAUACCAGUGGCGAAGGCGGCCCCCUGGACCAAUACUGACACUGAGGUACGAAAGCGUGGGUAGCGAACAGGAUUAGAUACCCUGGUAGUCC
rnacentral:rRNA from 1 species